UUAGUGUUAUUUUUAAAUUGAGUGAGAUUUCCAAAUAGAUUCAAAAUGAGGAAAUUAACACUAUUAAUAGGAGUAUGGUAAAAAAGUUAUUUGGCUUUUAGCUCAUGGAGUGAGUGGCUUUAUUAAUUGCUAAGGAGUAACUUUGCCUAUUGAUGAAGGGCUCCUGUCCAUUGCAAUCCCAUGGAAGGAAAGAGGCUUUGGCCUAAGGUGGAGAUAGGACAUAAAAUUCAAGAAGUAGGAAUUCUUAUCCAUUAGUAAGAGAGCUUUUGCCUAUGUAGUUGAAGA
rnacentral:misc_RNA from 1 species